rnacentral:rRNA from 1 species
GGGACACGUGGUAUCCUGUCUGAAUAUGGGGGGACCAUCCUCCAAGGCUAAAUACUCCUGACUGACCGAUAGUGAACCAGUACCGUGAGGGAAAGGCGAAAAGAACCCCGGCGAGGGGAGUGAAAAAGAACCUGAAACCGUGUACGUACAAGCAGUGGGAGCACGCUUAGGCGUGUGACUGCGUACCUUUUGUAUAAUGGGUCAGCGACUUAUAUUCUGUAGCAAGGUUAACCGAAUAGGGGAGCCGAAGGGAAACCGAGUCUUAACUGGGCGUUAAGUUGCAGGGUAUAGACCCGAAACCCGGUGAUCUAGCCAUGGGCAGGUUGAAGGUUGGGUAACACUAACUGGAGGACCGAACCGACUAAUGUUGAAAAAUUAGCGGAUGACUUGUGGCUGGGGGUGAAAGGCCAAUCAAACCGGGAGAUAGCUGGUUCUCCCCGAAAGCUAUUUAGGUAGCGCCUCGUGAAUUCAUCUCCGGGGGUAGAGCACUGUUUCGGCAAGGGGGUCAUCCCGACUUACCAACCCGAUGCAAACUGCGAAUACCGGAGAAUGUUAUCACGGGAGACACACGGCGGGUGCUAACGUCCGUCGUGAAGAGGGAAACAACCCAGACCGCCAGCUAAGGUCCCAAAGUCAUGGUUAAGUGGGAAACGAUGUGGGAAGGCCCAGACAGCCAGGAUGUUGGCUUAGAAGCAGCCAUCAUUUAAAGAAAGCGUAAUAGCUCACUGGUCGAGUCGGCCUGCGCGGAAGAUGUAACGGGGCUAAACCAUGCACCGAAGCUGCGGCAGCGACGCUUAUGCGUUGUUGGGUAGGGGAGCGUUCUGUAAGCCUGCGAAGGUGUGCUGUGAGGCAUGCUGGAGGUAUCAGAAGUGCGAAUGCUGACAUAAGUAACGAUAAAGCGGGUGAAAAGCCCGCUCGCCGGAAGACCAAGGGUUCCUGUCCAACGUUAAUCGGGGCAGGGUGAGUCGACCCCUAAGGCGAGGCCGAAAGGCGUAGUCGAUGGGAAACAGGUUAAUAUUCCUGUACUUGGUGUUACUGCGAAGGGGGGACGGAGAAGGCUAUGUUGGCCGGGCGACGGUUGUCCCGGUUUAAGCGUGUAGGCUGGUUUUCCAGGCAAAUCCGGAAAAUCAAGGCUGAGGCGUGAUGACGAGGCACUACGGUGCUGAAGCAACAAAUGCCCUGCUUCCAGGAAAAGCCUCUAAGCAUCAGGUAACAUCAAAUCGUACCCCAAACCGACACAGGUGGUCAGGUAGAGAAUACCAAGGCGCUUGAGAGAACUCGGGUGAAGGAACUAGGCAAAAUGGUGCCGUAACUUCGGGAGAAGGCACGCUGAUAUGUAGGUGAA